GCGAUGCGUCUGCUGUGAAUAAAAGCGCUGCAGAGGAUUCCAGUUUGAACUCAACACCACAACUACAACAUCAGCUGGAACUGCAGCAGGGACUGUGAGCGAGUACUGAAAGUAAACAGGAGAUGUUUGCGUCUAAAACUAAAGCACUUGUGAAGAAUCUGGGCGCUGAGGGCGACCUCAUCGAUAACGACAAUGUGAACGAAAAAAUUGAGAUGCUGACUCUGGUCAAAGUCAGACAGAGAAGAUUCUGGCCAGUAAUCAAGUACACGACCACGGACCUAACACUGCUCGACCUCCUGGAGGAACCAAACUAUUCACCAGAAUACACAGAGGAGGUUUUGGCUGAGGAUUUUAACAAUCUGAUACGCAUAUGUGGGAAUGGCAGUGUUGGAGCAGGAGCACAUGAUGUCGAAUUGAAAGCCAGUGCAGAAACAGACACUGUGGACGGAGUGUCACCCAUCACUCUGAAGAAAAAGACAGUGGACAUCGAAAAACUGAGGAAGAACUACACAGACAAGAAGGUAAAGAAAAAGUUUGUGGACAUGCUUAAACUGAAGGAGGAUGAAAAGCUGACUUUUGUCUACCAGUCAGUCUACAACACUACGCCGGUUAAGUUUUUUGACAUUGCCAUAAACCAGGGCUCUACGUCAGCAGCAUUUAAAAUAUACUUCCAACUGUGUGUGACGGGCAAAAAGAAAGAGAAGACAACCUUCAUUGUUCCAGAAGAAUCCACCUUCGCUUACAGUCUAAUGGAGAUAACAACUGAGGAUGGGACCCUGGGAAUCCCUCCAAGAACCAGGAAUGUGAGACGUUAUAAUGAAGAAUGGUGGCGCUUCAGCUCAGACGGCGAAGGCGACUGUGAGACCUUCCAACGGGUGAAAGGAGAGAUUAAGAUGAAAGAAGUUCUCCUGCAGCCUCUGGCAGAUCUGUCUGCGCCGACCCGUGAUGUUCUCCUGAAAACACUCCAUAUGAUUGUGGAGACCAGGAACGAUCUCUCUCUGCUGGUGGAUCAGCUCAGUACGGGAGCGUCUGAUGGUCCGCAGUCUCAGCACGUCUCCUCAUUCAUGGACCUUCUCAAGGCCUCCAACGCCUCGACCGCUCAGAAGGACGCCAUUGACCUGUUGGUCAGCGCGAUGGACACUCUGCCAGACUCUGUGCCUGCACUGCUGACCACCUGCAGUCCUGAUACUCUGAGAGUCCUGAACCAGCUGGUGAGCAGUCUUGGCAAAGAGGCCAAACUCCCAGAGUCACUGCCUCCUCCCCUGCAGGAGGAGGGGAAGCUCCGCUGGGCAGCCGAGCUCCUCUGUUCCACCGGCGGCACCCUGCAGGAGCUGAAUGAGCAGUGGUUCAGACCCAAGCUGCCAGCAGGAGCGCUGCUGGAGGUGCUGUGCCUCGUCGUGCGGGGACUCAGCAUCAUACAGCACAUCAUGUAG
rnacentral:lncRNA from 15 species